rnacentral:sRNA from 1 species
CCCAAGAUAAGAAACGGUUCACCUUCUGGAUUGGACCUCCUCAAAGGACCACCGUGGUCAGUGAUGUCACUGAGGACCAUGAGACUUUUGGAUGGAGAUUCUGUCUAAUGUCCUAACUGGUGAAAGGUCAAGGAGCAUGUUUUACUGCAGACAGCUUCUCCGAGCUCCUGGCUGUGAGGAUGACUCAUAAGAACACAAGCCAUGUGUGGGAGUUCAUGAUGUUCAGUCCCAUCUCCCCUUCUCUGGCAGCAGGGAGAGCUGCAGACUGAGUUAACCAGUUCUGCCUACACAAUGGAUGUAGGCUCCAGAAGAUUUCCAAGGUUUGAACACAGCCAUGCACCGGGAAAGCAGUCCACUCUAACCCUGUAGAGACAGAGCUCCUACACCUGGGCGAUGAGGACCCCAUCGUAUGCACCUCUGCAUCCACCUGGCCUCCCUUGUCCUUUACCACAGCCUUGAUGAGUUCACCCUCCCUGGACCAAGCUCACCAGAAGGAAGAACAAACAAACCCAAUGUCUCAGCCUCUGAUCCAGGGUUAGAAGAGACUCUUGCUGCAUUCUGUGAGAAGCACAAGCAGUGGAGCAAACUGCAGACUCAGAGAGGCCAACAAAGUUGCUGUGGUUACAGGAUCCACAAAUGGGCGCAAGCAAGCCUUUGGGAACUUGGGAACUUGUGGGUGUCUCUGGAUUUUGCCGAUCUCUGUCUUAACCUCGGUUUCACAAAGCAAAGCACAGGAGGCUUAAGAGUCUGGAGAACAUGCUACUUUGAAACCUCAAGGGACAGGAGACAAAGCCAAUGUCAGAUGUGUUACCAGCAUGGCCCAAUACAGGCUGUUGGGCCAUGGGCCACCAGUUCAGUGGGAAACAUGAGUGUAUUGCAAAGGAAUCCAUCAGAGGACGGCAGAGGGAAUUAACCACUGCUACAAAUGUCUGCUACUCAAGAGUGGUAGUGCCUCGUGGGUUGAUAACUGUAUCCUUCCAAGCUCUGGGCACUCAGCAAUACUCAGAUACCCGAGACAAGGAGCUCUACAGUCACAUCUGCCCUUGAGAGACUGGGUAUGGACAGUCAGUUAAGGUUCCAAUAGAAGAUGAAGUCGAGUUCUGAUGAGGGAAACAAGAGGUUCAAUACAGCCAGGACUUGUGUGUCCUCUCUCUCCCACUCUGGCCUUCCUAACCAUCCAAGAAGUAGGGCAUGAAGCUGACUGCUCUGAAUUAGUAGAAUUAAUUCGAUACCUCAGGGCAAAAACUAUAGCAAGCUAGAAAGAGGUCAACCCAAGUCUGAGCUGUCACACCCUCUUCAUCCUUGCCCGUGGGAUUGGCUUUGCCAUCGCCUGAAGUCUGGUGGAGGAGGAUGGGGCCCGAGUGGUCAUCAGCAGCUGCAAGCAGCAGAAUGUGGACCAUGCAGUGGUCAUGCUGAAGGAGAAAGGACUGUGUGUGUUGUGUAGGGAAAGCAGAAGAUCGGGAGCAGCUGGUGGCCAUGGUGAGGGAUAUAGGAGAUAAAACACAGGGAUUCCUCUUCGGUGAUCCACACCAGAGUAACAGUUAUGGGCUCCACUACUGACCUGAGUCACCUGUGUCACUUGGUGAUUACCCCUGAGCAGAACUGAGCAGAACUCAGACAGGGCAGGAGGGAGAUGGGGAGCUCUCUGGAAGCAAAGAAAGGGCGGCUAUCCACCAGACCCUCCUGGAAGACCCUGGGGCAAGAUCUGAUCAGAGACAGAGAGGUUGGUUCUUAGCCAGAGCUACAGUGUUCAGGAAAGAUUUAGAUGAGAGGUGGGUGGGGAAAAUGGCAGCCCAGAGUGCCCAGGGUUGGAGGACAUAAAAGGCAAGUAAAGCUGAAA